rnacentral:rRNA from 1 species
UAGGGAAUCUUCGGCAAUGGACGAAAGUCUGACCGAGCAACGCCGCGUGAGUGAAGAAGGUUUUCGGAUCGUAAAACUCUGUUGUUAGAGAAGAACAAGGACGUUAGUAACUGAACGUCCCCUGACGGUAUCUAACCAGAAAGCCACGGCUAACUACGUGCCAGCAGCCGCGGUAAUACGUAGGUGGCAAGCGUUGUCCGGAUUUAUUGGGCGUAAAGCGAGCGCAGGCGGUUUCUUAAGUCUGAUGUGAAAGCCCCCGGCUCAACCGGGGAGGGUCAUUUGAAACUGGGGGACUUGAGUGCAGAAGAGGAGAGUGGAAUUCCAUGUGUAGCGGUGAAAUGCGUAGAUAUAUGGAGGAACACCAGUGGCGAAGGCGGCUCUCUGGUCUGUAACUGACGCUGAGGCUCGAAAGCGUGGGGAGCAAACAGG